rnacentral:rRNA from 1 species
UACGUAGGGGGCAAGCGUUGUCCGGAUUUAUUGGGCGUAAAGAGCGUGUAGGCGGCUUUACAGGUCCGUUGUGAAAACUCGAGGCUCAACCUCGAGACGCCGGUGGAAACCGUAAGGCUAGAGUCCGGAAGAGGAGAGUGGAAUUCCUGGUGUAGCGGUGAAAUUCGUAGAUAUUCGGAAGAACACCAGUGGCGAAGGCGGCUCACUGGACUGGUAUUGACGCUGAGGUGCGAAAGCGUGGGGAGCAACAGG